UGGUUGGUGGAUAAUCGAGACAUAUUUUACAUCUAUAUAUCCUCAUUUCUGUAAAAUUUAAUUGGACGUCCAUCCUGACUAGGCCCAUUUAUGCCAGCUGCCAACUGUUAACAUGGGCAAUUUACCUCUCACAGAUUUCACUAGGCCUACACAUCUCCAAUGUCAAUGAACAGGCAAAGGGCAUUAAGUGGACCUACUUUAAUCCACACAAAUUAGACGAAAAGUAUUCAUAAUCCCGAAUUAAUGAAACUGUCGCGUCCUCGUGCUUUCAGCGAAACGCUUGAUGGUUUUGGGCGGCAAGCGCGUGCACUGGCGUGGAUUACGUGCGCCGUGCCAGAAAGCACUGGGGGCACGAGGCUCGUUCCCGCGUCCAACCACUGGCUGUGACGACCGGCUGCUCGACGGGUGUAACUCGAGCCCGCGGCCGCCCGUCAGUCAGAAAUAAAAAAUCAUUUGUCCGCAGCGGGCGCGCGGCUUGAUUAAAUAUUAAUAGCGGGAGGGAGACUGUUAUCCGGUGUCGCGUGAAAAGUGAUCCUCGGCCGCUCCGGAAGGGCAUCGUGGCCUCACGGGUGGACAAACGGAGACGCAGUGAAAGAACAAAGCACGGUGACAGGGUGACAUGUCCUCUCGCCAGAGAUCUUGAGAGAAAAAGGUGGGGCGAAAUGAUAACAAGGUUCACACAGGUCAAAGCAAAGUGAAUAAACAUGAACUCUCCCGUCCAUGCUCGAUCAAAGAGGAUGGUUACUGUGUCACAAAGGGACACGGACGCAAGCGAGGAAAGGGAUGAGGGCAUGGAGUGCAGUCUGGGAUGAACACUGACCUGGAAUGGAUCGGCUGUCAGAUAUUAUCAAGAUGUCUUGCAGCUGUAGAGUGUGUGUUAUCAUCAGGAUGAGAGUACAGACCAGUGAGGACAGCUAACAACCCCCAAACUUCCCAGCAAAAAUCCAGUAUCAAACCUCCUGUGUUCAAAAGAUCCUGUCUGUGUCACUCUCUUCAAAUCUCUUGAGCUUCAUGUCUUCCCUAUUAGUGUAUAUAUUCAGAUAGAUCUAGUCAGUGAAAUGUAGCCUGUUUUUUAACAAUACCCUGGCAACCACCCAAAACACACUAAUGCCCUUGUAAUUCCCUAGAAUUUGUUCAGAAUACCUUAGCAACCACAUAGUAAUACCCUGGCAACAACCCACAACACUACAGCAAUGCCCUAGCAACCACCAAGGUUAUUACCAUUAAAUAAGGCCAAUACACUCUAAAAAUAACU